GGGCCCAUAGCUCAUCUGGUAGAGCGCAUCAUUUGCAAUGAUGAGGUGAGCGGUUCGAGCCCGCUUGGGUCCACAA
rnacentral:tRNA from 1 species